AGCCAACCUUACUACACUUUCAGCACCUUCAUCAACUCCAAGAUAGCCAAUAUUGAAGUUGAGAUCUGUUUUCACAAAGCCAGGGCAAACAGCAUUGAUGCAGAAAGAUGGGUACUUCUUGGCAAGAACCCUUGUGUAGGCAGUCAAAGCAGCUUUUGAGACUAUAUAUGCGGAAAGCCCAGGUGGCCACCCAUUGGUUUCUAAUGAACCCUCUUUAAAAUCAUUUAGAAACUUUUUCAGAACUUCAUCCACUUUUUCUUCUGUUAAGCUUUCAACAUCACUUAGGAUUCCUCUAGCCCAUUCAUUACGUAUGCUCUGCAUGAACAACAGUAUCAGAUACAUCACAAUGAUUGAAGAAACAGUACAUAGCAAAAGUUGGCUAGUCAGAUUGUGACUCCAAACACAGUAACAAGUUCAUGCAUAUUAGUCACAUAUACCUCCAACUUCCCCAUGGUGGAGGAAACAUUAACAAUCCUUGGUGAGUCUGACAAUUCUAUAAGGGGAAUAAAUGCUUCACACAUUAAUUUGGCUCCAUAGUAAUUUGUUCUAAUGCUUGCUUCUGUAGAUUCAUAAGUUUCAUAUGCAAAUUUUCUCCAAUCAACAGUGUCAACUUUUUCCUGUAGUCAAAGGGAAGAAAGUAAACUUCUUUCCUUGCCGCAAAUAAGGGCAAACAUCUUCAAAUAAAAAAACCAGGCCUCUUUGUAAUUAAUUUCUUUUUCAAGAAUAUACCUUUGCAAGAACAAAGAUUAAGUUCUAUCCAAAGAAAUUUGAAUAUAAUGAAAAUGUUAAGCCUAGUUAUUUCUUGGAGAAAGAAAUGUUUAUAGGAGACAUGACAUAGAAACAUAGAUACCAUUGACCAAAGAAAAAUAACUGAGCUACAAAUUUUAAGAUGGUGUGAAAGUUUAUUUAAACUUUUCUUGGUGAGCCUAUUAGGCCACCUAUAUUAUUGGUCAUUAUCGGACCACUUGUAGAUGUUUCAUUUGCAAAUUUCACAUUCAAAACAUCUCGUUUUUUAGUAUGAGAGGAA
rnacentral:sRNA from 1 species